UCCUUUGAUGCUGAUUUGCUUCUUUAAGCCUUCCUUCCUUCCAAACCAUGAAUCAGGUCCUUCCAGAGGCUAAGAAUUAAGUUCACAAUUAAGGCGACUCCCUCACUGUUUCCUCUGCUUUCAGAGAGGGGAAAAUACUUCCAGGACAAGUCAAGAAUUUAUCAGAUGCUCUGCUUUCAGCAGCCUGAAACUUUCAGCAGGAACACGAUAGCCGAAAUCCCAUGCCACUUCUUCUAUUGAGGCUUCCGUUUAAAUCAGAUUAGGGUGAGCCACAAGAAAAAUUCUUCAGAGAUACGAGUCGUGGGCGUAAAACAGCAGCUGUUGUGUAGCUCACACAAGUUCUUGCUAAUCUGCUGGUUUUUAAACUCGUGAUCUGACUUGUCUGAGAGCAUGCCUUGUGGACUUCAAGCCCCAGCAUGAGAUCCAGUGAUAACAGCCUUGCAGAGACUACUUCCAACCUCCACAAUUGUAUAAGCCAGGUCCCCGUAACAAAUCUCAUACUGGUUCUGCUUCCCUGGUUGAAAUUUGAAUACAGUCACUCUAUUGACCAGGACGACCCUGUUGCAGUACAUGGUUGUCUGCAGUCACCUGGCUGGUAGAUUCCUCCAAAUCUAGGGGGAAGGACUAAAGGGCCCCCAAGAGGCUAUAGUGAUGAUGUGAUAAUUAAUUUUAUGUGUCAACUUGAGUGGGCUGAAGGAUGCCCAGAAAGGUGGUAAAACAUUAUUUGGGAGGGUAUCUAUGAAGGUGUUUCAAGAAGAAAUUAGCAUCAAAAUCUGUAGACAGAGUAAAGAAGAUCUGCCCUCCCCAGUGUGGGUAGGCAUCAUUCCAUCACUUGAUGGUGCAGAAAAGGUAAAAAGGUGGAAGAAGGGCAAAUUCUCUCUCUUUUUCAGCUGAGACAUCCACCUUCUGCAGAAAGGCAUAGGAGCUCCCGGCUCUCAAGCCUUCAGACUCUGGAACUUUUACCAGUGGCCUCCCAGUUCUCAGGACUGUGGACUUGAUCUGAAUUACACCACUGGCUUUCCUGGUUUUCCAGCUGCAGAUGGCAGAUCAUGGGACUUAUUCCCAUGUGAGCCAAUUCCCAUAUUAAACCUCCUCUCCUGCCUCUCUAUAUAUCCUAUAGUUUCUGUUUUUCUGAAGAAUCCUGACUAUACCAACAACUUGGAAACUUAGAAGUAACAGGUAAUAACAAUGAUGCUGCGGAUACAAACAUGACAGGUACACAGCAUGUACUAAAUGUAGGGUCCCAGUACUACAGACUCAUUUUUUUCUCACCAACCACCCUAUAAAAUAGGUACUGUUAUUUUAUCUCCCUCUAUACUCUGAGGCACACAUAGCUGAAAUAACUCGCCAGUAAGUAGAAAGCCAAAAUUAAACUCAGGUACUCUGGCUCCAGAAUCUGUGCUCUUCAAUACUAUUGCACCAUUCCAAAUCAACCUAAAUGUAAUGCUUUCCAUCCUCUGGCUACCCUGACUUUUAGAAAUUUUUCACAACAGAAAAAUAGUGUGCUAGCCUGUGACAGUGCAGCCAGGAAACUUCUGUUCUGGUCCUGAUUUCACCACUGACUGGCUGUUGUUAAAGCAAACUAAGUAUGGCCUGAGAAGGACCGCAUACUUCUGUAUCUGAGUGAUUGUGGAUGAACUGUAACCUAGCUUAACAGGCAGACUAAUAGGCCUAAUAACAGGCGAAUAGACUAAUAGGCCAAGCUCUAACCAAUCCAGCCAUCUGUUCCUCACUUCCAAUUUCUGUACGUCACUUCCCUUUUUUUUUCCCUUCUACCAUGUGGCUGCGCUGGAGUCUCUGUGAAUCUGCUGUGAUAGUGGGGGCUGCCCGAUUCGUGAAUCAUUCAUUGUUCAAUUAAACACCUUUAAAUUUAACCUGGGUGAAGCUUUUCUUUUAUCACUGUGUAGCAUUGGGCAGGUCAGGCUAACUUCCUUACUUGUAAAAUGAUCUCAGUGCCUUCUUCCAGCUAUAAAAGUUCACAAUUCUAUGGUGUUAAAGUUCUGAUUAUGAUGUUAAAAGAUCCUUGGAAAAAAGCUGCUCUGUACAAUAAAAUUAGGUAAUAAAACCUACAACUGUAUAUUUGACUUCCUUGCAUUUAUUUUUCAGCCUCUUCCUACCUCAAAAAUUAUUCUGUAGCUCCCUAGGUAAUUAUAAUAGUGAUUUUUUACCCUUUCCAAUUGUGAGGACCCUGUUAAUCACACACAUGCAAAAAGAGUUGUGAAAUUCCAUAGAAGAAAAAUAUAAAAUUGUAAGUUGAGAAAAAAUACGAUAGAAAGACAUGUUACACUUGAUAAUGCUUUUAAGUAAAGUUAAAUUUCACUAAUUAUAACAACAUCUAGAGACAUUUGAAAAAGAGUGCAUAUUCACCGUACAGGAAAAACUUUAUGGAGUUACUGACCUACAGGAUUCUUAACAGUUACCUCUUGGUUCUCAGUUCCCACUCAGGGCGCUCCUCACUGGUAAUCACCUAUUACAAUUGUAUGCAACUUGUUAAAUGUAACUAUGCUAAAAAUCAAUAUAUGCUGAAAGCCAAAAGGAGGACUGUUUUAUAUGCCACAGCUUUAUUUUCUUUAGACUUUACUGCCUAUUUUUGUGUUGUUUUGUUUGUUUCUUUCAUGGUUUUUAAAUUGACAGAUUUUUGGUAAGUAUUAUAAAAGUUUCUGAUCUGGAGAAGUAUCACUCCUCUUUGUUUUUCUUUUCUUUUCUUUUUUUUGUGUGUGGGUGUGUGUAUCUUCAUUGUCAUUUAGCGAAAGUUCCCCUAAUUGUUAAAAAGCCAAGAGUAAGCAUCAAGUUAGAGACAGGGAAAAAGUACAGAGUGAAAAGCAAUUUUAAAAAUUGCAUAAUCAGUCUAAGAAGAGUAGAACUGGCCACUUUUAAAGGCCAAAGUCCAAACAAGGUCUUUAAGAAUUUGGUAACACCAAUGGCACUCACCAGAUGGGUUAAGGCAACACUGCAAUGGGAAAGGUGACAACUGCUCAGUAGAAGGCAGACAUCAUGUAAACAGUCGUACUAGCUGUUUUCUUGUGUCUGAGUCUAUGCCUAGAAGGGGUUUACUUUUUCCACAAAAGGGGAAACAUACUAUGAUACCCCUGAAUAUACAUCCUAGAACUCACUGCUUAAAGAACACAUAGAAAAAAACAAGGUCAUGCAACCAUCCCUAGGAAGUUACCAAAAUUCAUUCUUAGUUCCCAUCUGGGGGCAACCCUGAUGAGAUACUGCAAGGGAAGAAAAGAAGAUUAAAGGUAAACAGGCGUAGUUCAAUAUCAACACUUUAGGCAAAUCUUUCCUGAUUAUCCU
rnacentral:lncRNA from 1 species